UACGUAGGGGGCGAGCGUUGUCCGGAAUUAUUGGGCGUAAAGAGCGUGUAGGCGGUUCGGUAAGUCUGCCGUGAAAACCUGGGGCUCAACCCCGGGGCGUGCGGUGGAUACUGCCGGGCUAGAGGGUGGUAGAGGCGAGUGGAAUUCCCGGUGUAGCGGUGAAAUGCGCAGAUAUCGGGAGGAACACCAGUAGCGAAGGCGGCUCGCUGGGACGGUACGUGACGCUAAGGCGCGAAAGCGUGGGGAGCGAACAGG
rnacentral:rRNA from 1 species